rnacentral:misc_RNA from 1 species
AGAGAGAGAGAGGACUAUUUGUGAGGAGUAAGGAAUCAAUCUAAUAAAACGGAAGGUUGGGAAUUUUCCAAUGACUGUUAUUGAUUUCAUUCAUCAACUCCAAUUCUCAGGCAAACACGAAAUAUUUCAUCCAGCACCAAAAGGUUUACAAAAGAAAAGAAACAUAGACUAGGAUAACAGCCACCCAAACACAGAGUAAGCUCUGCCUCCCCAAGCAAUUUGCUGGAAUUACAACUGAAAAAUUCACAAUACUACCGUCAUGGCCCCACAAAGAGCCUCACAUAACUACUUAUAGACUUCCAGCCUUCCACGUUCCUUCAUUUGCAAAAUUACCUCCAACAGAUUGCUUUUCUUUUUCAUGCUGAAUAACAACCUGUUGA